CAGAGUGCAAACGCCAUGCUGGGAGAACCACUCCUCUCUUCAGAGCUGUCAGACGGGGACAUUUAAGUCUGCGGAAGUUGUCUGCUGCUUUUUGUUCAGCUAUGCUCUUCCCACAGAGGUGGAGUCUAGAGGCAGUAGGCCUUGUUGAGCUGUGGUGGGCUCCACCCAGUUCAAGCUUCCCGGAGGCUUUGUUUACCUACUCAAGCCUCAGCAAUGGCAGACGCCCCUCCCCCAGCCAAGCUGCCAUCUUGCAGAUCGAUCUCAGACUGCUAUGCUAGCAGUGAGCAAGGCUCCAUCAGCGUGGGUGCUGCUGAGCCAGGCACGGGAGAGAAUCUGCCGGUUGCUAAGACCUUGGGAAAAGCACAGUAUUUGGGCGGGAGUGUCCCAUUUUUCCAGGUAGUCUGUCACGGCUUUCCUUGGCUAGGAAAGGGAAAUUCCCCGACCCCUUGUGCUUUCAGGGUGAGGUGAUGCCCUGCCCUGCUUCGGCUCACCCUCUGUGGGUUGCACCCACUGUCCAACCAGUCCCAAUGAGAUGAACCGGGUACCUCAGCUGGAAAUCCAGAAAUCGCCUGUCUUCUGUGUGGAUCAUGCUGGGAGCUUCAGACCAGAGCUGUUCCUAUUCGGCCAUCUUGACUCUGACUGUAUUUAUUUUAUUUUGGGAAAUGUGCAGGCAGAGGCAGGCACUGUCGGGAUGGACAUCUUCAGAAAGCAUGAGGACAGAUACAUUGAAAACAAACAACAAGGCUGACAAAACAUCACAGGAGACACUACUGCACAACCAGUGAUGAGGACUGAAUUCUCCAUUGUCUGCCCCCUACAUUUUGGCUGAUGGCAACUCUAGUUCUGAGGUGUAGUGGGCUCGUAGGAUAAUAGGUAGUCCUAUCUGGCUGGAGUAAGGAGGAGAAGCUUGGAGAGGUAAGGGACAAGCCCAGGAAGGCUGUAAAGGCCGAGCUAAUGAGUGUGAUCUUCAAAGGUUAGUCCAGGGAGCUAUGGAUGGUCUCAGGAUUUUGCCCUCCAUCCACUCUUGGUUCCAGUUGCAAACACCUGCUGAUCAUCAUAAUGAACCAUCUCCUUUGCCAGUCCUUCUUCUGCAUUGCUUUCUCUCUCUCAUUCAAUCUACAUCUCUCUGCUCUCUCAAACCUAACUCAAUUUUAGUCCUGUUCAGGAAUAUGACUGGCCUGCCUUGACUUGGUUACCCCAAAGACUCCUUAGUAAUUUUGCACCCUGUCCCCCAUAGACUUAACCUAAAUUUCUAUAGUAGGGACAUUACUGAAGGUGGUUCGUGGAGGCAAUGUUUGGUACACUGACCCUCUGCUUUUCCAUACACUUUCAAUAUGAAAUUGUCCAUGUCUUUCUCUGGAACACUUUUUAGCAUACAAAUCCAAUAAAAUCACAUUUACCAAAUCAGUCACCUUUUGGAAAUCAUAUCUAAAAGUUAUUUGAGUCAAGUUUUUCCUGAUGAAAUAAUAAUGCAAAAAUAAGUCUUAAUAUAAAUGCAAAAGAACUAAGGUUAUUUUUUAAAUUAUAGUAACUUAAAGGUUUAAGGGAAAAAUUAUAGCAGUAGCUUAUCUGAACAGCAUUUGUUGAUAUAAAAAAAAUACCAAAUGGUUUAAGAAACCUGUAGGUGAAAUGCAUGUUUCUCUGGAUACACAGAUCUUUUCCCUCCCCCACCAUGCUAGAAUUUUGUAGGCACAACUGGUUUUUAUAAAAUGAACAAGGUGGUGCGGGCUGAGGGAAGGGGCAGCAUUAAAGUAAAAGCAAACACAAGAAUUCGAAACCUUCAGUAAAUGAACAAUUUGUAACCCCCUGUGUUGCCAUAUUUUCUUCUCUGCUUCGUCCUCAUAUUUUCACACAGCUAAUAAGGGGAAGAGCUGGGACUCCAGCAGUUCUAGCUCCAUAUUCAUAUCUCUUUGCAAUUUACUACAACUGCUGUCAACAGUGUUCGUUAAUCUUUGAACAUUUUCUUCUUUAUGACUACUAGACCUCACUACUAUCACAGUUAUCUCUAAACACAGAUGUCAAAAACAGAACCAUUCUUUCUCUUUGCCUUCAAACUUGCUUCUCUUUUAUGGCCUGGUUACUAGCAUUGUCUUCAACUCAGACACUCAACAUAUCUACUUUGGGUCAUAUUUGAUUCUUCUUUCUUCCCCACUAUGAUAAAUUCAUUCUUAUGGAUUCUGCUGUCAUGAUGCCUCUCAGUUUCUCCUCUUCUUUUCUUUCCUGCUUCAGUCAUGUUGGUUCAGGUUUUCGUUUCUUCUUACUUACACAACUGCAACAGUUCCUAGCUGCUCUCUCAGCUUCCAGUAUUUCACUUCCUUCCAAUCUAUUCUUUAAAACAGAGAAACUGUAUUUCUGUUCCUCUUAUACCUGGAGUAUCCUUUCCCUGUCUGUACCAUGUAAAAAUUUAUUCAUCCUAUGAAGACAGCCCAACAUAUCCUUUCUUCUUUCUCCAUUGUGGUACAGUUAUUGCAUCAAUGACCCCAAUUAAAUGGACUCUUUGUGUCUAUGUCCUAUUGUAUAAAUCCAUUUUCAUGCUGCUAUUAAGAAAUAUCUGAGACUGGGUAAUUUAUAAAGAAAAGAGGCUUAACUGACUCACAGUUCUGCAUGGCUGGGGAGGUCCCAGAAAACUUACAAUCAUGGCAGAAGGCACUUCUUCACAGGGUGGCAGGAGAGAGAAUGAUUGUAAGCAGGGGAAAUGCCAGAUGCCUAUAAAACCAUGAGAUCUCAUGAGACUCACUCACUAUUAUGAGAACAGCAUGGGAGAAACUGCCCUUGUGAUCCAGUUACCUCCACCUGGUCCCACCCUCAAUACAUGGGGGUUAUGGGGAUUAUGAUUCAAGAUGAGAUUUUGGGUGGGGACACAGCACAACCAUAUCAUUCUGCCCCUGGCUUCUCCCAGAUCUCAUAUCCUCAUAUAUCAAAACACAAUCAUGCCUUUCCAAUAGUCCUCCAAAGCCUUAACUCAUUUCAGUAUUAACCAAAAAGUCCAAGUCCAAAGUCUCAUCGGAGACAAGGCAAGUUUCUUCUGCCUAUGAGCCUGUAAAAUCAAAAGCAAGUUAGUUACUUCCUAGACACAUGAGGGUACAGGCAUUGAGUAAAUACACCCAUUCCAAAUUGGAGAAAUUGGCCAAAACAAAGGGGCUACAGGACCCAUGCAAGUCCAAAAUUCAAUAAGGCAGCCAUUAAACCUUAAAGUUCCAAAAUGAUGUCCUUUGAGUCCAUGUCUCACAUCCAGGUCACGCUGAUGCAAGAUGUGGUCUCCCAUGGCCUUUGGCACCUAUGUACUGUUACUUGAUGGCACCUUCAGAAAUUGACAUCAAGCUUAGUCUUUGAUUUGCUUUGACUAAUGGGAUAGUAACAAAAUUGAAGCAAGCAGAGGCCUGAAAAAAAAAAAAAAAAAGCACAUGUCAAUUUCUGUUUCCAUCCCCCCCUCCCUUCUUGAUCCUCUGAAUUUUCUCUGAGGACACAUCUGGGGGAAUUCUGCUGGAAAAUGAGACACAGAACAGCUCAGUCCAGGUGACGUAUGUAGCCAAAGCCAUUCUGGGCUGGCCAUUCACCACCUGACUGCAUAUAUAAUUGAGCCAAGCUGUAAUUAGCAGAAUCAUUCAGCUGACCCUUAGACCCGUGAGAAAUAGUAAGUGGUUGAUGCUUUGAGUCCAAGUUUGGGGGUGCUAUCUUAUGCAGCAAUGGCUGAUACAUCCACUAUGCUUCUUUCUGAAUUAUUCCCAAGGCAUUUCACAUAUACUAUUAUUGUAACAUUUAUCGUGUUCUAUUCUCCUGUAAUACUAAAUUUCUUUAAGUCGGGUGCUAAAUUUUUAUAUCCCCAGUAUUUAGCACAUUCCCUAGAGCACAUAGGCAUAGAGUAAGUACUUAAAACAUGUUUACUUAACAAGUUAAAUGUACACCAACUCAUCCCUCUCCAAUCUAUUACAAAGCAAUUGAGUAAAAAAAAAAAAUUUUUUUUCCCCAUUUUAUUCUAUUUUUUUUUUUCCGUUUUAUUCCUUCGGGUUCAGCAAGACUGUUUUGUCAAGACUAUGUGUUUAACUGUGAAAUAAACAUCUACAAAUGUUCAAAAAUUAGUGUUUGUUUAUAAAUGUUUCUUUCUUUCAAACCUUAUAUUUGAAGAUUAAGUACUUUUGUAAGCUGAAGCUCCAGUUCAUGGUUUACAACAGUCCAAGGGAAGGACGUGUAUUGGAUCUUGGAUUUGGAGACAAUGUCUUUGUUCCAGGAUAGAGACAGUAUAGGGAUUUAGAGAAAGGAAGGAGGGAGCUGAGAGAUCGUUGAGCAAUUAUUGCAAAGUCUGCCUUCCCCUUCACUGUAGACAAUGGUAAAAUCUAUAUGGCAAUUUAAUGGAAUCAUCUUUUUCCUCUUGGAAAACCCAAAUCAAGUUUCACAGAGAAAACUAUACAGGCAACACCGGCUGUUGUUUCCAUGCAGAGAAGUGAAAAUGACUAGAUAGUUUUGAUUAUUUUUGCAGAAAUAUGUGCAUAUAUUUGACAGUCUCUAAAUCUUCCCUAAAACACUCUUUAUGU
rnacentral:lncRNA from 10 species